ensembl:snoRNA small nucleolar RNA SNORA31
CUGCAUCUUUGACAGCCUGGGCUCUCAUCUGUUAGAGACACUGGGUUUUAAUUUUGCAGAUGCAAAAUCAAAUGUCCCCGCGCUUUCUGCUCGCCUUGUCUGUGGCGUCCCAGAUUGAAGAGGGGAGGACAGUU